AGAGUUUGAUCAUGGCUCAGGAUGAACGCUGGCGGCGUGCCUAACACAUGCAAGUCGAGCGAAGCGCUUUAGUGGAAUUCUACGGAAGGAAAGUGAAGUGACUGAGCGGCGGACGGGUGAGUAACGCGUGGGUAACCUGCCUCAUACAGGGGGAUAACAGUUAGAAAUGACUGCUAAUACCGCAUAAGACCCCAGUACCGCAUGGUACAGAGGUAAAAACUGAGGUGGUAUGAGAUGGACCCGCGU
rnacentral:rRNA from 1 species